rnacentral:rRNA from 1 species
GACGAACGCUGGCGGCGUGCUUAACACAUGCAAGUCGAACGGAAAGGCCCUGCUUGCAGGGUACUCGAGUGGCGAACGGGUGAGUAACACGUGGGUGAUCUGCCCUGCACUUCGGGAUAAGCCUGGGAAACUGGGUCUAAUACCUGAUAGGAGCCAUUUUUAGUGUGAUGGUUGGAAAGUUUUUUCGGUGUAGGAUGAGCUCGCGGCCUAUCAGCUUGCUGGUGGGGUAAUGGCCUACCAUGCGGCGACGGGUAGGCGGCCUGAGAGGGUGGACCGCCACAUUGGGACUGAGAUACGGCCCAGACACCUACGGGAGGGAGCAGUGGGGAAUAUUGCACGAUGGGCGCAAGCCUGAUGCAGAGACGCCGCGUGGGGGAUGACGGCCUUAGGGUUGUAAACUCCUUUCGCUAGGGACGAAGCUUUUUGUGACGGUACCUAGAUAAGAAGCACCGGCUAACUACGUG